GAUGAAGAACGCAGCGAAAUGCGAUAAGUAAUGCGAAUUGCAGAAUUCAGUGAGUCAUCGAAUCUUUGAACGCACAUUGCGCCCUGUGGUAUUCCGCAGGGCAUGCCUGUUCGAGCGUCAUUUCAACCCUCAAGCCUCGCUUGGUGUUGGGCCCUGCCCGCCGCGGCCGGCCCUAAAGAUAGUGGCGGCGCCGCCUGGCCCUCAGCGUAGUACAGCUCUCGCUCCAGGGUCCGGCGGCAGCCUGCCAGAACCCCCCAACUCUGUGGCUGACCUCGGAUCAGGUAGGGAUACCCGCUGAACUUAAGCAUAUCAAUAAGCGGAGGA
rnacentral:misc_RNA from 1 species